AUUGAACGCUGGCGGCAGGCCUAACACAUGCAAGUCGAGCGGAUGAAGGGAGGUUGCUCCUGGAUUCAGCGGCGGACGGGGGAGUAAUGCCUAGGAAUCUGCCUGGUAGUGGGGGAUAACGUCAGGAAACGGGCGCUAAUACCGCAUACGUCCUGAGGGAGAAAGUGGGGGAUCUUCGGACCUCACGCUAUCAGAUGAGAGUAGGUCGGAUUAGGUAGUUGGUGGGGUAAAGGCCUACCAAGGCGACGAUCCGUAACUGGUCUGAGAGGAUGAUCAGUCACACUGGAACUGAGACACAGUCCAGACUCCUACGGGACGCAUCAGUGUAGCAUCUUGCACAAUGGUCAAAAGCCUAAUCCACCCAUGCCUCGUGUGUGAAGAAGGUCUUCUGAUUGUAAAGCACUUUAAGUUGGGAGUAAUUGCACUAAGUUAAUACCUUGCUGUUUUAACGUUACCAACACAAUAAGCACCGGCUAACUUCGUG
rnacentral:rRNA from 1 species